CAGGGAGCCACCGAUCUUCCUCUUCAAACGCACCCGAUAUGAUUAUCCGACUGCAGCUCCUGCCUCCCCAAGCCCCAGUCCCUCACGUCCCCCCAAAACCCCUCAAAAACCCUAAUCCCAACCCCACAAGGCAUUCCAAUCCCCUGGAGAGAUUCCCCCCCGUGAAGCCUCUCGCCCCACUUUCCCACCUCCCAAACACCCCCUUUUCCGGCGCUGGCCUCCUUUUCCGGGAAAAGCUCCUCUACAUCGAGGACCUCAAUGUCGACACCGUCCAAGCCCUGGACAAGAACCCUAAUUUCCGAUCAUCUCCCAUUGAAUCCGUCAAGCUGGUCGUAGAAUUCCUCUUCUCCAUGGGCAUCAAACGUUCCGCUCUCGGCCGCAUCCUCAACAUGCACCCGCAGCUCCUCACGUGCGAUCCCCACGUUGAUCUCCACCCCAUUUUCGAUUUCCUUUUAAACGAAGUCAAUAUCCCCUUCCGUGAUAUUCGGAAGUCGAUAAGACGGUGCCCCAGGUUGUUGGUUUCCAGCGUCGGCAACCAAUUGAGACCCGCAUUUUGUUUCUUGAAAGAUUUUGGAUUCGUGGGAUCUCAUGCAAUUACUUGCCAGACAACAGUGCUAUUGGUUUCGAGCGUUCAAGGCACUCUUCUCCCGAAGAUCGAGUAUUUGGAGAGUUUGGGAUUUUCUCACGAUGAGGUGGCUAGGAUGGUUUUGAGGUCACCGGGUUUAUUAACAUUUAGCAUUCCAAAUAAUUUUCAGCCGAAGCUGGAGUACUUCUUAGAGGAGAUGAAGGGGGACUUGGCAGAGCUGAAAAGGUUUCCGCAGUAUUUUUCGUUUAGUUUGGAGGGGAGGAUAAAGCCCCGGCACCAGCUUUUGGUUGAGCAUGGGUUCUCAAUUUCUCUGUCAGAUAUGUUGACGGUUAGUGAAGGGGAGUUCAAUGUGAGGUUAAUUGAUUUGCGGUUGCAGUCAGUAGAUGGGAAACAGUGGUAUGACACAUCCACCUCAAAGCUUUCUUGUGGGAUGCCAAGGCCAAUCUCUUCAUGAACUUCCGAUCCUUCUACACCAUACGUUGUGACGAAUUGUCAGCUCCAUCUUCCAUGUUAAUGAAGAAGUGAAAAGUUCAACUGCUGUAAAAAUCCGUAUUUGUCUUCAAAGGAAAUACAGGGAAUCGAGCUUAACGAGCUUUGGGCUGGGGGUUAGUUAUUCUAGCUUAGAGUAAGUAUUUGUGAGACAUUGAUAUGUAUAUAGAUAUGUUUUUUUCUAUUUGGGAUGUAGUAUGAAUGUUUGGAGAUACAUGUGUAAUUAUGGUGAUAUUAGACACUACAAAAAGCCUGGUUUUUAGUGACGAAAGUAUUAGUGACAGAUUGAAUUUCGUCACUAAGAGUGGGUAUUAGUGACUAUUUUUAAGAACCGUCACUAAUAGUGUAAGCAGUGACGGUUUUAGCAACUGUCACUACUACUGCACUAUUAGUGACGGUUUUAAAAUCGUUACUAAUACUUUCAUCAUUAAAAACCCGUUUUCCCA